rnacentral:rRNA from 1 species
AAUGAACGCUGGCGGCGCGCCUAAUACAUGCAAGUCGAGCGAGAAGACGUAGCAAUACGUUUGUAAAGCGGCGAACGGGUGAGGAAUACAUGGGUAACCUACCCUCGAGUGGGGAAUAACUAGCCGAAAGGUUAGCUAAUACCGCGUACGCUUCUUGGACUUCGGUUCAGGGAGGAAAGCGAUGCCGAGGGUAUCGCGCUCUUGGAUGGACUCAUGUCCUAUCAGCUUGUUGGGAGGUAACGGCUCACCAAGGCUUCGACGGGUAGCUGGUCUGAGAGGACGAUCAGCCACACUGGCACUGCGACACGGGCCAGACUCCUACGGGAGGCAGCAGUAAGGAAUAUUGCGCAAUGGGCGAAAGCCUGACGCAGCGACGCCGCGUGGGGGA